GAUGAACGCUGGCGGCGUGCCUAAUACAUGCAAGUCGAGCGAACAGACGAGGAGCUUGCUCCUCUGACGUUAGCGGCGGACGGGUGAGUAACACGUGGAUAACCUACCUAUAAGACUGGGAUAACUUCGGGAAACCGGAGCUAAUACCGGAUAAUAUAUUGAACCGCAUGGUUCAAUAGUGAAAGACGGUUUUGCUGUCACUUAUAGAUGGAUCCGCGCCGCAUUAGCUAGUUGGUAAGGUAACGGCUUACCAAGGCAACGAUGCGUAGCCGACCUGAGAGGGUGAUCGGCCACACUAGAACGGAGACACGGACCAGACUCUUACGGGAGGCAUCAGUAGGGAAUCUUCCGCAAUGGGCGAAAGCCUGACGGAGCAACGCCGCGUGAGUGAUGAAGGUCUUCGGAUCGUAAAACUCUGUUAUUAGGGAAGAACAAAUGUGUAAGUAACUAUGCACGUCUUGACGGUACCUAAUCAGAAAGCCACGGCUAACUACGUG
rnacentral:rRNA from 1 species